rnacentral:rRNA from 1 species
GAACGCUGGCGGCGUGCUUAACACCUGCAAGUCGAACGGAAAGGCCCUGCUUUUGUGGGGUGCUCGAGUGGCGAACGGGUGAGUAACACGUGAGUAACCUGCCCUUGACUUUGGGAUAACUUCAGGAAACUGGGGCUAAUACCGGAUAGGAGCUCCUGCUGCAUGGUGGGGGUUGGAAAGUUUCGGCGGUUGGGGAUGGACUCGCGGCUUAUCAGCUUGUUGGUGGGGUAGUGGCUUACCAAGGCUUUGACGGGUAGCCGGCCUGGGAGGGUGACCGGCCACAUUGGGACUGAGAUACGGCCCAGACUCCUACGGGAGGCAGCAGUGGGGAAUAUUGCACAAUGGGCGGAAGCCUGAUGCAGCAACGCCGCGUGCGGGAUGACGGCCUUCGGGUUGUAAACCGCUUUCGCCUGUGACGAAGCGUGAGUGACGGUAAUGGGUAAAGAAGCACCGGCUAACUACGUG